UCAAGCUCGCGCGCUACUCGACUUAUUUGUAUCUCUAAUUUUCACCACUACCAUUAUUAUUGUCGUUGUCACCUUUGUCAAUAGUAAUACAACCACCCACUCCAUUGUUUUUCAUAUUAAUAUUUAAAAAUAAUUAACUAGACAAAAUAUAUUUACAUUAAAAAUAAAAUUAUUUUGUUAUUGUGAUUCUAAAAAUAAUUAUGUAAAGAGUAAAAUAUACUUUGACUCCUUUAAGAUUCCAUGAGAAAUACUUACGUUACAAAGCUUUAAAACAUUUCAAUAAGCACCACCAAGUUAAUUUAGCAUAGCAUUGUGGUCAAGCUGUUCAUCCACUCCACAUUGUUGAUGGAAAAAUGCCAAAAAAAAAAAAAAAACAAAACAAAAAACAAAACCAAGAAUGCCCUACUUUAAGAUCUCACUAGCUCACAUGAGAAUUAUAAACAAGAUGAAGGCUAUCUAGAUCGAUCCCAGCAACAUGCUUGGAACUAUGCCUCCUUUGUACUAUAAUACCGUGGAAACAAAUAAACCAUAUGAUUAGAAGAAAGGAUGAGGAUACUGGACGGAAGCGAGAAACUAAUUUAUUUAACAUAGAAAACAAGGCUAAAAACAAAAGGGAAAAACAAAGACUAAUACUAAACUUGAGAUGCUCAAAAGACAGAAAAAAAUUGUUGUUUUAUAGAAAAGGAGUCUCCUUU
rnacentral:lncRNA from 1 species